rnacentral:rRNA from 1 species
AUGGUGAGCUACGAGGAUGUCCGUGAUCAUGUGACAUCUCUGUUCAUCAUGCUGAACAAGAAAACGGUUAUCUUGUUUCGCAUCGAGUCCCUGGUGGUCCUCGCGACACUGCUCUUCUUCGCCAUGUUCCUCAUGGAUUUCUUUCGCCGCAUCAUCCACGACUCGUUCAUGAGGGCUGUCUUCAGUGUCUUUGAUGCCGUCUCUGACUCCAUUGUCCUGUACCUCCUGGGGGCCAUGCAAGCCGCGCCUUUCAAGAAUCAGCUGUUCCCGGUCUGGGCUCUUAUGCUUGUCAAUUUCCGUUACAGUGCAGAUUACAUAUCCGGCUAUGGUGUUCCUGACCGCCGCGGGCGAAGGUUCACUGAGUGGAGGAACGUGUUCAAGCUCCUGGGAUCGGCGUUCUUGAAUUCGACGCGUGGAUCCAGCUUCACGCGUCCACUGUGGUCCGUCUGGUGUCUGCAGAUAGUGAGGAGUGGGUACAGACUCCUUUCACAUGGUCUGGCACUCGGCUCCGUGUGGCAUGGCGGGAGUUCGCAGCUUGUUGCAGAGCACAUGCGUGCCAGGUACUCCGAUGACGAUCCUAGCAACUCGCAAGUGGACCCAGUGACGAUGAAAGGUUACAACUACUUGGUGUAUGGAGAAACAAGGCAGCGUUUGAAACUAAAGAAGCCUCAGUAUCAGUAUGCAUUGUCUGACGACACAUUGCCCAGAAAGAUCCGGCCAGCUAGAUGUUGCUGUGCUGCAAGGGAAGACAGUACCAGCUGCCCCAAGUCGUCACCACUGAUCACGCUGGACAAGGUCUGGGAGAAUUGUCCCAUUCACCAGCCACAUGACGAGCAGAAGGACCUCCCUCUGGCCUUCGCCUUGUCCAGGCUGCUGCGGUGCAGGUUUGAGGAUGUGACGCUGCAAAGAUGUGUCUUCAAAAUAAACCGAGAGCUGGUCAAGAACAUAAUUGGUGGGAAGGUGGGUACCAGCGAUGCCCUCAGGAUCAUGGAGCUACAGCUUGCCUUUGUCCAUGACUAUUUCAACACCCGCUACCCCAUGGUGUUCUGGUCUGGGCACAUAUCUCUCUUCAUCACUCUGUUUCUGUCCAUGCUAAGCAUUGUUGCUGUCUGCUGGCUUGCCAUGGAUAUCCGUAGGGUGUAUAAGCCCCCAAAUGGUGAGCUUGCCAAUCUGGUCAAGGGUUUUAAUGUUGACAUGAUCAUUACAUGGGCAUUCAUUUUAUUGAUGAUUGCCAAGGAGCUCUGGGAGAUGGUGACAUACUUGCUCUCAGACUGGACAAGCUUAAUCCUGGUGUGCCAGUAUGUGCAGAGGAAGUGCCAGAGGACCAUAGACAUGGAUACAAGACUGGAUCGCAUGCUAUUAUGGUUUUCCAGAGCUAAGAUUAUUGACAAGAGGUGGCAUGGAUAUAUUGACCAGUAUUUCUUCGUGCAGUCGUAUGAUGACAGUCCAAGAUAUUGGAAUUUUGUUCACAACCUAACUACAGGAAUAAUUCCAAAAAAAGACGAUGGGGCAGAGCUCAACAGUGCCAUCAAAGUUCCAGAGUAUGUCAAGAAGGCUGUCCUGGAGAAGCUCAGCACAAUGGUGGAGGAAGGACCAGGUUCUAGUCUGCCCAGCGUCAUCAAGACAUUGUCCAACAACAAUCUUAGGAAGCAGUUGCAGAACUACAAGGCUUACACUACACAACCGACAAGCUCUCACAUAAUUCUUGUCUGGCACAUUGCCACUAGCCUCUGCGAGAUGGAGCUUGCGACAAAACACGGCGUCAACUUGAGCAACCCUGGGUGUCUGCGUUCCCUCCUGACUUGGUUGACUUCUUGCUGCUCAUCCAAACCGUAUCUUAUGGAUUUUGAUGAGAAGGAAGAUGACAUAUUGUCAUGGUUCAAAAACUGUUGCUCAUCCAAAUCAAGUGAGAAGUUGCCUGAUGAGCUCCGGGAACCAUACACCGUUGCGAAUAGCUUGUCACGGUAUUGUGCAUAUCUGGUGGUUUCAAAGCCUGACCUGAUCCCUGACAGCUUUCUUGUUCCCAAGAUAGUCUUCCGAAAAACUGUCGAGAGUGCUCGUGAUCGCUUUCUGAAAAACUGUGAUUCAUUAGAGAGCAGGUACAGAAAACUGAAAAACAAAGCAGAAAAACCUGUCAAAGACUCUGAAAAGGAAGAUGUAUUGAAACAAGGUGCGGUGCUGGGUAAGGAACUGCUCAAUCUUCCAACUGACGAAGCUCGCUGGAAGAUCCUGGCAGGGGUAUGGACAGAGUUACUUAUACACAUUGCGCCCACGUGGAAUGCACAGGCACACAGGAAGUGUCUUUCUGGAGGGGAGUUCAUAACCCACAUCUGGGCAUUGCUUUGGCACUAUGGCAUCCAGAAUAGUAGCCUGUGGCCAAAUGAAGUUGCGAUAGGAAACAAUGCUCCUGCAGCACCUCAGAAUAAUGGUGUCGGAAAUGAAAACAAUAUGGACGAGACAGAGCAAUCUUGUGCAGACAUAAGCAACAACCAGAUUGAAAUUAAUAUUCAUGGAUGGGAUGAGAUCAAGGGAGCCCAAGAGCAUGAUACACGAAACUCAAGGAGAGGAUUAAGAAGAAUGGAGGAAACAGAGAAUAUAGAAAUCGAGGAGGAGAAUCCGGAUACGAUAGUGGAGGACACAAAAUUUCAGAGAGGAAUGGCUGGCUGGCCAAACACAAAACGAGAGUGA